GUAAAGGUGUUGAAGAGGAGUAGUAAGCCUAUUACCUGUUGCAGAGAGCCGGCGGUUGCUGCAAGCCGGUACAGGUAAGGUUGAACUCGCCUCGGAGCCGCCUUGGUGAAGCGGAUGCUUUGAAAAAGGCCGUUAGCCAAGGACGUCAGCCCGCGUAAAGGGUUAAAGAAGGGCCGCUACGGCGGCUGAAUCAGGGUGGUACCGCGAAGCUGAAGCUCUCGCCCCUGUU
rnacentral:ncRNA from 1 species